UAAAGCCAAACCAUUAAUGGAACUACAUCCAUUCCUGCUAGAGUGCUUGGAAGACAGUCAUACAAUAAACCUUUGCUUUUACAGACCUAAUUAUAACGGAUUUUGCUUAUAGCAAUUAAAAUCUGUUGUAACUGAGGUAUCCAUUCGUAUUGGGCAGGUCAGGAAACUUCAGGAUUGAAAAUAGUUAUAUUAUGGCUUCAUAAAAUGGAGAUUUACUGUAUGUCUGAUAAACCUCUGCCAGCAGAAUGUCUCCCCUGGAGAAGGAAGUGACAGGGAAACGCCAUUAA